rnacentral:rRNA from 1 species
UACGUAGGGUGCGAGCGUUGUCCGGAAUUAUUGGGCGUAAAGAGCUCGUAGGCGGUGUGCACGUCGUUCGUGAAAACCUGCAGCUUAACUGUGGGCGUGCGGUCGAUACGGGCAUCGCUGGAGUUCGGCAGGGGAGACUGGAAUUCCUGGUGUAGCGGUGAAAUGCGUAGAUAUUCGGAAGAACACCGGUGGCGAAGGCGACCUUCUGGGCCGUUUCUGACGCUGAGGUACGAAAGCGUGGGGAGCAAACAGG